rnacentral:rRNA from 1 species
UCGAGCGGUAGCACAGAGAGCUUGCUCUCGGGUGACGAGCGGCGGACGGGUGAGUAAUGUCUGGGAAACUGCCUGAUGGAGGGGGAUAACUACUGGAAACGGUAGCUAAUACCGCAUAACGUCGCAAGACCAAAGUGGGGGACCUUCGGGCCUCAUGCCAUCAGAUGUGCCCAGAUGGGAUUAGCUGGUAGGUGGGGUAACGGCUCACCUAGGCGACGAUCCCUAGCUGGUCUGAGAGGAUGACCAGCCACACUGGAACUGAGACACGGUCCAGACUCCUACGGGAGGCAGCAGUGGGGAAUAUUGCACAAUGGGCGCAAGCCUGAUGCAGCCAUGCCGCGUGUGUGAAGAAGGCCUUCGGGUUGUAAAGCACUUUCAGCGGGGAGGAAGGCGGUGAGGUUAAUAACCUCAUCGAUUGACGUUACCCGCAGAAGAAGCACCGGCUAACUCCGUGCCAGCAGCCGCGGUAAUACGGAGGGUGCAAGCGUUAAUCGGAAUUACU